rnacentral:lncRNA from 1 species
GGAGAGCCACGGGCCCGCGCCCGAGACCCGCCCGAAGCGCGCCGAGCUCGUGUGGGGGCCCAAGCCCAAGCUUCCUGGCGCCGGGCGCCCUCCCGUCCGGUACUUGGAGCAAACGGUGUCCAUGAAGGAGGCGAGUGGCAAAUGAUGUGGUCAGGACCAUGGACAGGUCUCCUUGGUUGAAAAGGAUUCCCACCCACUGACUCUCAGAUUUGGUAAUAGUAAGUCUGUUUUGGUUUCGUUUGGUUUUAUUUUGUUUUGUUUUGCCCGAAUCAGCCACAUACUCGUCUCAGAUCUCCGCUGUGGAGAAACAGCUAGUUGGCAAAAAGCAAAAAGGAGAGAGGAAUCCUGAGCACAGCAGUGGUCUCUCUCUCUCUCUCUCUCUCUCUCUCUCACACACACACACACACACACACUCACUUCACCCCUUAGCCUCGCUCUUGAUAAGCCUUGCUGCCACACAGAGCUUGGCUUACCUCUUGGAACUCUGAGUUGGAAUUUGUCUACACAUUGCAAACGCACAUUUGAAGCCACACAAAAGUCAGGGUCAGACGGACGUUUUGACAAAGGACCUGGAAAGCAUGUCACACGCAGGUUUUUAAAAAUUUGUAAACCUGUGACCAUUGUGAACAGUCCCAGGCCAACCCUGAGCACAACAACAAUUGGCCACUUAGUUUUUACUUAAGAUACUUGAACCGCUCAACCAUUUACCCAACUCUCAACUUCAUUUAGUAAUUUGAGAACCUGGACAAUCAACGGCAUAAACAACAUUGAGAAAUAGGGAGUUUAGUGAUUCUCUCUUGUGGAGGAAAUGCUAAUUCCUAGAGCAAAAUAGCUAUAUUAGGGACUGAAACAAAGAAGAAAAUAUUUUACACUUAUGUAAGUAAGGUUGGACUGUAAAUCUAGAGCAGAAACUGUCUUCCAUUGCUUUUAUAUAACCUCUCCCUCAGUCGCAUUUUAUGCUCAAUAGACAUUCAUCCUUUACCAUUUUCUUUAGUUCAGUGAGUAUCUGUGAAGCCGGCACUGUGCUGAAAACUGGCUACAAGCAAGAAUUGUUAUUGAAGGAUCAAAGAAAAUACUGUUUUACUCAGGAAACAUUAAAAUGCCUAUACUUUAGGAAAGCUCCAUGAGAGAGUUUAUGAUGGACAUCUAGAGGAUUCGGGUAAAAUGUUUAAUGACAUUUUCCCCAGGCAGCCUCCCUUAAAACAGUCUUGAACUCCAAGACAUUGAUCUGAACUUGACACCACAGUUGUAAGUUGUGGUUUCUGGCUAGUUCUGAGUAACCCAAUUGUUCAAACUUUUAAAGAAUUUCAUAUUGAAAGCCCGAAAAAUGUAUUCAUCCUUUCCUCACCAAUUACAUAGUUACUAAGUAAAUAACCAGAUUAUGUGAGUUUCCAUAACCUAGAUUAACAUCGCUACUAUUUGUCCAGGAGACUUAUUUGUCCAGGAGACUCAUGUGGAUGAACUGGGGAAGAAGGAAGAUAGUUCCUAGAAGGAGGUUGUUGGACAGAAAGAACUUAACUUAUGCCUAGUGUUCCAUUAUUGGAACGCUAAGCACGCGGGAGUUGUUUACAUCCUGCUGCUCAAGGUCAUCGCCAAGGUCUGAUUGCAAAAAUUCUAAAAAUUGCAACCUCAGGGAUAAAUGAGUUAAGUAGUAACUACAAAGGUACUGUACUGUCUAGACAUCCACCUCUUGUCUACCUUCUAACUCUUUUGCAAGCACUUGCCUUUCAUCGUACUUCCCUGCAGUUCCCUUACAGCAGAGCUAUCCAAAAGAAUUGUCCGCAACUAUUAAAACACUCUGUAUUUGUGCUGUCCAAUACAGUGGCCCGUAGCCACCUGUGACUAUUGAGCACUUUAAACGUAGGGAGUGCAACUGAGGAACUGAAUUUUUAGCUUUAUUUAAUUUUAUUCAGUUUAAAGUUUAAAAAGCCACUUGUGGCUAUUGUCUGCCAUAUCAAACAGCAUAGACUUAGAGCUACAGAAAUGGCAUGGUAGUGUUCAGCCAGGAACUAAGAAAGAAGAUUAUUUAAUGAGCACUUGGUGAGAUAAACUGUAAUGUCUGUAGUGGGAAAAGAAUAGCAGCAAUUUCCCAUGUUUGGCAAUUCUAUCUAAUGACCUGACACUGUUAAGAAAUAUAUCCAUCAUGCUGUGUGGAGGUAGUUAAAGAUGGAGAUGGAAAAAAAUAACCAGAAAUCAGAAUAAUUUUGUUUUCUCUUCCAUUUCCUCCAGCAAAUAUUUUCCUCAAGAGUUGUCAUUUACUCUACUAUAGAUAGCACAGUUAUAACAGGGAAAAACUAACAUGAAAUAUUCUAGAAUUAUUUUUGUUCACUUAGAUCAAAUGGUAGUUUUUUUCCUGCCACCUAAAGCUUUAGAAGUAACACAAGCUCUAGCAAAGAAAAGAAAGAAGUAAGCAAAUAGCACGGACACUAAUUUAUUAUCCUGUGCUUUCCUUCCAUGGUAUCUUCUAAGCGUUUCAUUCAGACAGAAGGGCCAACUACACUUCCUUUUCCUCUGUAACUAUGAUAUUAUUCCUGUAUAAUCUGCUAUAAUUUUCUUAUUGCUCACUGAAGUUAUUGCUAUUGGCUAGCUGCAUAGAGCAGUACACAGAGGUUUUUCAAAAGAAUAAUAACACAGCACGAUACUGGCCUGUCAGCUCGUAGGAGUGAACAGAACUUUUAAACAUAUAGACCAAUUUAACACAAAAUGAUCAACAAGUACAUGCUUAGUAGGAUACAGGCUACUGUAACUAAGUGUUCUUAUUCACAACAAAGAAGUUAUUAUUUUGUUCUAGGUAACAGUACUUGACUAUAUUUAAAACCUUUUUUCACAGCUGAGUGUUCCCAUGAUAAUGACAAGUGACAUUUAUAUAGUGACUUUCACUCAGAGGUCAAAAAGUGUGCCACACACCUUUUACAUGACAUAAAUAUGUCACCCACCAGUAAAUACAGCCACCUAUCAUGUAGAAAGCGGAAGCAACUUUUAGAAGCCCUAAAGAAUAUAUAUAUACAGGAAAGAAAUUGAAUUUUACACCUAGAAUAAAUUGAGUUAGAUGAGAAAAUGGUCUUCUGCUGCAAAAACAUUAUUCAACUCUUCUUGGUUUAUAUAAUUGCAAAUUUGGACAGGGUAAUGAUGUGUGGAAUAGAGGAAGGAGAGUCAAAGCAAAAGAUAAUUUAGGAUAAUCUGGAAAAGAGAUGAUUAGGGCAUCAUUUAGAAAAAGGAGGUAAAAUAAUGGGCUUGAUCAGACCAGAGAGUCUAUGAGGGUCACUAAGAUCUUUUAUUGCUUACACUGUUCAAAUACAAUGCUGUCAAACAUUGUUCUUUGUAUAAAAAUAGGUGCUCAAUAAAUUGUUGUUAAAUGAAUAAAUUAUAACAGGCUUGGUGUCAUGUAUCCUUUAUAAUUGUAGUUCUUAAACUCUGAUGCA